GAUGAACGCUCGCUACAGGCUUAACACAUGCAAGUCGAGGGGAAACGACAUCGAAAGCUUGCUUUUGAUGGGCGUCGACCGGCGCACGGGUGAGUAACGCGUAUCCAACCUGCCCAUCACUUGGGAAUAACCUUGCGAAAGUAAGACUAAUACCCAAUGACAUCCCACGAAGACAUCUGAAUGGGAUUAAAGAUUUAUCGGUGAUGGAUGGGGAUGCGUCUGAUUAGCUUGUUGGCGGGGUAACGGCCCACCAAGGCAACGAUCAGUAGGGGUUCUGAGAGGAAGGUCCCCCACAUUGGAACUGAGACACGGUCCAAACUCCUACGGGAGGCAGCAGUGAGGAAUAGUGGUCAAUGGGCGAGAGCCUGAACCAGCCAAGUAGCGUGCAGGAGGACGGCCCUAUGGGUUGUAAACUGCUUUUAUAAGGGAAUAAAGUGGGUCUCGGGAGACUUUUUGCAUGUACCUUAUGAAUAAGGACCGGCUAAUUCCGUG
rnacentral:rRNA from 1 species